rnacentral:misc_RNA from 1 species
CUUCUUGGUACCCUACAAGUGACUAGUUUCAAAGUCAGCCUUGUUGAUAAAUAUCUAAUAAAUCUCACAAUCACUUGACAAAGGCUGGCGAGAGAACAGAACUUAAGAUCAGCAGGUCAUAAUUUAAAAGAAAAGCAAUAAUAGCAUCCCCCCUAGUGCCUCCUUGUUUUAGAUUCACUUUUUGAAAGUAUCAUCCCUGAAAGCUUGUUGACCUCGUACAGUAGUCCCACUGAGAACAAGAAACAUGUUGUGAUGCAAACACGAUGAACAGUGCCAGCUGCAAUCAGAGCAAUGGCUUCUGCUAAUACCACUGUGCCCCACCCAGUCUUCAUGCCACAUGUUUCCUGGAA